UAUCUUGCGUGUCUUGAGUUGAACACAACUUCGUAAUCCAUGUAAUCCGAUUUUGGCCACUGGAAACAGAAAUCGUCGAUUAUCUUGGGUGGGCGAUGUAGCUCCUAAUGAUGGCGCUGUGGUAAAUAUGGACUAGUGAGAUUCGUGUCUGAACACGGCUAGUUCGGAAUGAGGGCUUGUCCGCAUUCCGAAGUGCGGACUACGGAAUACGGUUUAAAUCCGCAUCUAGUGUGAACGCAGCAUAUGACAUGCAACACACCACACAAUGCCACACCACUCAUCAAGGAACCUCAAUGUUGCAGAUAAGCGAGCCCCCGAAAGAUGCAUCCGGAUACCAUCCCUCUCUGUUCUUCUCAAAGCCAUGGCAAGCUGGAACUAUGGAUACAAAGCUGAAGAUUCAGUGUACAGAUGAGAACAAAAUCAAAGUACGGUGACCGUAGCUUCUCGUGCUGUGGCCCUUACCUCUGGAAUGGACUCCCUACAGCGCUAGGAUGACCUAGAACAAUUCAAGCUUGUCCUAAGACACACUUGUUUGAAAAAUGGACAGAGAGGGGCGCUUUGAGCGUGGUAUAACCACGGAAAGGCGCUAUACGGUAAAUAGCAUUUUGAUUUGAUUUGAUUUUAGAUGAAAUAUGCCUGAUGCUGCUAAGUGACACAGGGGUAGUCCCUAAUUGUGAUAAUGACUAUAAGACAACGAAUUGUAUACGUAAUUUAGCUUUUAUGAUCAUAUUUUAUGUAUCAGUUCAGUUGAUUACCGAGAACCUGCUGGCCUGGUGUAUUUAUACGUGAUUUCAUGGGCAAGGACCAUGAGAAGUCACUCUUAGUCUUACGACUAUUUCAAGCAAUCAAGGAAAUGUGCUGUGUCAAAAUAGAUAAAGCGGACUGCCAUACCUCAAGGAAUAAGUGAGCACUGCCCUAGCCCUUUGUGGAACAUGAUGUUCCUGUUAAACUUCAGGUUGGUACAUUUUCUGUCAUGUCUGUUUACUUUCAAAUGAAUUUUGAAUCGGCAUCUAAUGAACACUGUCACGAGCCGGCUGUGACCUUUCAGCAAUAUGAAAGGCGAAAGAAAUGUACGGUACAUGAAACCUAACGUAAACACAGAAUUGAAUUGUUUAUACUUUGCAACCUCCCCCCCCCCCCGCCCCGGCGGUGACAAUGACUAAACUAUAAACCAGUCUUUAUCCUCUGGAUGUAUUUUCACAAUUGCCCUCUUUCGAUUGCAGGAUACCACCAUGCACCUCUUGUGCCAGAUGGAUUGGAGAAAUUUGGUCCACUCCGUCUCUGAGGGGUUUCCCCUAUAAAAGAACCCUCUGCUUUGUGGCACGGCGAAGUAUGAACAAGGCAAAUCAUGGAGACCUAUGCUGUCUAUGAUUUCUGUGCAUAUCCCAUUGCAAUGGAAGUGGGCAUAUCAGUGAAGUUCCGACAAAGGAGAGUUAUGUCCAGCUACUCGAUAUACAGGAGAUGAUCCGGAAACUAUAAGGCAAUCACAUGCGAUAACAUACCACAUCAUUGAAAAGAUCGCUACAUGUAUUGUCCUGUGUCAAUAUACUGUAGAACAGAAUAAUUUCCCCGUGUUAAAUUUUCGUGAAUUGCUGAUCAUAGGCCUAUUCGCGACAGGAUAAUUUCGCGAGACAAGGGCUGUUUUUUCUAGAUUUUUUUUAAUGGCAGUAAUAUCAGAAAGGUGCUGUUUUUAAUAAUCAAUAACACCUACUUCGGCACAUUGCAUUACACACACGGACAAUGGUUUCGCAAGCACUGGUGUCAAUAAAUUGAGGAGUUUGGCAUCCCUUGUUGAGUAAUUUUAAAACUGAAUAAACUGAAUAAAGGGUCAAAUUAGGCCCGCAAUCAGGUCACCAAGCUACCAGGCAAGCUGCUUGGGGGACCAAACAAUGGCUUCUGAUCACGGAAUAAAUUCUGAUUACGUCAAUCGCUGCUGAAUGAAAUCAGGUUAAAAACUUUGCCAAGAACAGAACAUUUUCGCGGCAUAAAAUUUUCGCGACUAAGAGUAGACCCUCCUGCACGAGAAAUUUUCCUGUUUUACAGUACAUAAUACAUGAUAUAAACCAGCUUGCCACAAUCUAUGGAGUUGAGAUGAGUGGGAUUACACCACAAUGCACGAAAUACUAGACGACUGCAAAUACAGUACGAAAGGAAAUAACUACAUUUUUGCAACAUCGAAAUUAUAUGAUCCUGCCGUGAAAACUGUGCGUGCACUUGGAGACAUUCACCUUGGUCAUAUCAAUUCGAUAUUCCAGCACAGUUUUAGGGAUACCACUGGUGUUUUCUGUUUGCUGGAAACAUGGUGACAUCAGAAUUCACUAUGGACUGUUUCUGUCCGCAAAGAUGGACCCCACGACUAAGUGCACUUUUCCAAUCUCUAGAGUCAGCAAGUUGCUUUACACAGCUGAGGAGGACGAUCGACUUUUCUUUUUGAAUUGCAACAUCUUACUUGCUGCCUGACUGAUUUGAUAUACUCAAAACUUGGACCACAAUAUUUUCUUGGAAAAAGCUAUUUCUCAGAUUUGCCCUGCAUGCAUAUCCUGUUUGUUAAGUCCAUGAGUUCGUGCGUUCUGGUGUAUUGUGGCAACAAUUGAAUGACCCACUCUCAUUAUAAAAUACGAUCGUUGAAUGACCUUACAAAUGGGUGUUUAGAGCAUUUGGUCACAUUUGAUUUGAUUUGAUUUGUCAUGAACUGGGGUCACAAUAUGAGGGAUCGGUUACAUAUUAUUUUUUUCAUGGCAUUUCAUUUAGCUAUUUUUUCCUUAAUACUGUAUUUACAUGUACAGAGGAGUAUCAUGAGGUGUCAAAUUAAUCCCUAGAAUGUCUUCUUUCCAAUGAUAUAAUCACAGCCUGAUUUGGUUGGAUAAUUUUUACUCAAGAGGGUGUUUGAACGUUCUAUUAUAGUACGUCCAUAGGAGAUGCCCUGAGAGAAGUAUUGCCUAAUUGACCAAUUCUCCAAGUUCAUUUUCAUGCAUGACUUUGUUUAAUUGGUGACUGUACAUGUAUGACCUUACAAAUGGAAUUACACUAAAAUAUCUGUUGUUUUCAUUGCGAUGCUGGUUUUCAAACAUUUUCAAUUCAGGAAUAUCUGUUCUAUCAUGAAAGUCUUUCCCACAAUGCAGUAGCUGAGGAAAUAGUGCAUUACACUAGAUACCCAACUGUAAGGUCACAUAUUUUCUUCAAUACUGUAAAGUAAUUAGUUGUGAUUAUAAAGUUGCUGGUGGAAAUGAAAUGAUCUGCUUACCAGUAUGUCUCUCCUACUCAAUUCCAAGUUCAUUAUCAUGCAUGUGCAUCUGUUGGACUAUGUUUUCAUUGCAAUGCAUGUUUUCAAAACAUCUCCUUAGGAACAUGCUUUCUGUGGUGUGCCGCAACUUCAUUCUGAUUUGAGACAGGUGCAAUGAUGGGUGUGGUGCAUGGAUGGGGCAAUGGGAGAUACUGUUGUUUACCUUUCAGUAGUUUUGUAUCAAUUUGCAUUUCUCUGGAAAUUGAGGCCUACUUGACAAUUUGUACUGCCAAUUUUAUCAGGAUAAAACGCUACUAUAGUGAACAUUUCAUGGUUUACAGUAUACAGUAUACCGGGAGAUGUAUUGUACCUAAAUGUUUUAAAUUUUAAAGAUUGUCUUUUGCUACUGUGUUUUAACAUUUUAGCUCCUAGAAAUAUUAUUAUGUCAUGCCUGUAGCUUCCUAGACGCCCGGAUCGGCCCGCUGAAAGUUGGGUCAUAACAAUGGAACAGCAUUAUAAACUGGUGUUGCGGAGGCCUCAUGCCGAAGCUAUCGCCACGCCAUCUGGUAUCAGGUAGCAGGACUGAAUCUUAGAGGAAUCCGCUUUGCGUAACACUUGGCUCUGUUGCAAUUUUGCAAAGGGGGCCAGGAAGUAAUCGUCAGGACGGUUCCGGGCGUCUAGGUGCUAAAGAGUUAUGUGCAAAUACGGAAUAAGUGUAAAAUAAUGGUAUUAAAGUUGUUUUAAGUGUAAAUAAUAAUUGAAAGUAUAUGGCAUACAUUACACUUCAAUUCUCAUACAGGAUGUAUCUUGAAUAAAAUCUUCAA